CGGGAGGAUGGAAAAAAAAAGUAAAUCUAGCAAACAGAUUUUUUCUUUUUCCUUUGAUUUAGAGGCGGAAGGGUGAUUAAUACUUGUGUUACUUAAAUGUUGUUUGGGAUCCUGCAGGACGCGGAGCUAAAACCGAAUAAUUUUUUUUGCUUGAUGGAAAAAGAAUAAAACAUUCGCCUUCGGUCGUGUAGGGGCCCCCCGGGCCGCUUUAACUGGGUGGGGAGGUAACGGAAAAGGAAGCAAGGAUGAUUAACAGACAUGGGGGGAUGAUCGGACGGGUGAUACCAAACGACCGCAAUUACUCUGGCGGGGGGAAUAAUGGGGGAACUUUCCAGAGGGGCGAACGCCUGGGGAAACCGCCCCGCGUGAGGGGGGAUUUUGACCGAAAACAAAGGGGGGGGAGGGAAAAAGUCGGCAACAACUGGCGGGGUGUUCCUGGACGCCCAUUUUUUAAAACACGGCGACAACAUACGUGCCAACCCCCGGGAUUAUUUGUGGGUGGCAUUUAUAAAAAAAAAUUGGGGGGAAAAGGGGGGGGGGGGCGCCCCCCCUAUUUUUUAGAUGAAAAAACUUGGGGGAACCCCUGGGGGGGGGGUUGUUAGAAAGGGGGAUUUGUGUGCGCAAAAGGGGGGAGGAAAUCCCCAAAUUUUUGGCGAAUUCUUUUAAGAUUUUGAAAAAAAAAAGUAGUCGAAAGGGGAUUUUCUUCCCCUCUUUAUUGGCGCCUUAGGGGGCAAAAAACAGGGGGAAAAAAAAAACGAUUUUAAAAGGGGGGGUUUUCCCACAACCUCAAAAAAAUUUAUAGCCGCAACGUUUUGGGGGGUUUCCUCCCCCCCUUUUUGCGGACGACAAACCCCCCCUAUUUUCCCUAGCCCCCCGGGAGGUUUGGGGCCGGGGGUCUUUACACACAGAGUUUAUAGGGGCGGGGCGGCCCAGUUUGAACACACUAUUUUUUUUAUAAUCAAAGAUGCCCCACAUAUAAUUAUUACGGGGGGUGUGAGGGACCUUAUCACAGCUGUGACAUUAUAAUUUCCGCCCCCUGGGAGGGUACGGACGAAUAGGGGUGUUGAUGUGUUUCCUUCCCCUCUACACGUGUGAUGUGUAUAUGAUGCGAAUAACUUCUCUUCAAACACAAAGGCAGCUUGUAUGCACUACGAUGCGUCGCGGCUCUCACAGUGAGUGGUGGGAAAAUCUUCUACGCAGACGGGUCGCCGAGAUAGUCUGAGUGGAAGUGCUUGCAUAGCAUGUACGUACUGAAUGU
rnacentral:rRNA from 1 species